rnacentral:rRNA from 1 species
AUGGCUCCUACCGAGGCUGAGGCUGAUGUAGAGGAGGGAGAAGAGAAGAAGAAGAGGGAAAGGAAAGCAGCCGGAGCUGCUUUCACGUGGAUUCAAAAUAACUUUGCAACGUGCCCUACGGAUGCCAAUGAUGAUGUGAUCCAGACACAUGCUCGUGUGUAUAUGUGGUACGUUGUGUCGAGGACUUUGUUUCCUGACUCCACUAGCAAGAACGCUCCAUGGAUGUGGCUGAAGGCGUUGACCGUCUUCGAUAGCAAAUGGAGCUGGGGUUCAGCGACUCUUGCCUACUUGUACCGAUAG